AAAGGCGUUGGAGAGCGUGGUGGCCAAGGUGAUGAGCGCCAACAAAGCAACCAGCAGGACUUUCCAGGGCAGGGCGAUGGAGUCCUGAUAAAUGUAGCCGUCGGCGCUGCAGUUGUGGGAGAGGUAAAAUCGUCAUCGAAGGCUCCAGCACUGAACAACCCUUUUCUGUGUAGCGAUAGCCCAUAGCCAGGCUCCUCUCAAACAGCCUCACUAUCUCUGAAAGUUGCAUUUCAAAGCAAAACUCCUGCAAGUACCAUUUACAAGAAGGAUCUAUGCGAGGCACAAAGCAAAUCUCAAGCAAACUGAAACUGACAGUUAAUCAAAAAAGAUGAUUAAGAAAAUAACGGUAAUCAAAGGAAAUAACUUCUCCAUCAACAAUCAGCAUACACCAUGACUGCAAGCUCCUGCUGCCUGCACCUCCUUGCCAUGAUGGACUGUACCUUGAACCCUGUGCUAAAAGAAGCCUGUUCUUUCAUAAGUUGCUUUCAUCAGAGUAUUAUGUCACAGCAACAGAAGAGAAACUAGGACAGCAUAAAUAAAGUUACAUUUCAUAAAUUUGCCAGCACCCAAAUCUAACUCAACCCUCCCAAGUAUACAGAGCCAUGUUCUAUCUUGUCCUUGUCAAAUACCCCUGUCUUUCUCUCAGGUACUUCCAAAGGCUGAUGGCUGACACCUUGGCAACAAAAAUGUAUAACUACAUUGUCUUGGUUCAUUCUUCUCUCAGUAGAUUAUUGCUUUGGAUCCUAAAUGCCAAUAUUUUUUCUGUAUAUAUUAAAUGAAAAGGUCUAAGACAGUGAUGACUUCUCUUGUUAGAAAAGUUUACUUUUCUGCCAAAUGUAUACUCUAUUUUCAGUAUUAGAGUAUGCUUUUAUUAUGUCUAUUUUGUUCUCAACUACCGCUUGACUAUAACAGACUAGUUAUGAGAAUUUGUCCUAAGGUAGUAAAUUUUAAGGCUAAAACUUUGGGCUGUGGUGAGUUCUCAGGUCAUUGUCAGUUUGUUUCCAAAAGGAAUAUGAGACCCCAGUUCUCUCUUAUUCUUCCUUCUGCUUCUUAAUCACGAGGUAAAGCAAUUUACCAUUUGCCCCAUCUUGGUCCUCUGGCAUCCUUAUCUCCAGUCCAAAUAUAGGUUAACAAAAUCUUAGAAUUUCCAAUCCAAAAGCAUAAGCCAAUAUGUACCUUUCAUAUUCAUUAAUCAAUCAUUUAACAUUUUGGUUGUUAUAGUAACAAGAAGCUAACUAACAAAGUCCCUUCAUGUUCUAAGAGAGGUAUCAUAUAUUUUUUUUAAUGUUUUUUUGGUGUUAUUUUCAUUAUGUUUGCAUUUUAAGUAUGAGUGUGCAUAGAAAAUUGGCAUUUAGUUGAGUAAGAUUGCUGAGUAUUUUGAGUCAUUAAAAUUGGGUUGUCAUUUGUUUU
rnacentral:lncRNA from 1 species